AACGAACGCUGGCGGCAGGCCUAACACACGCAAGUCGAACGCCGUAGCAAUACGGAGUGGCAGACGGGUGAGUAACGCGUGGGAACAUACCCCUCGGUUCGGAAUAACUCAGGGAAACUUGAGCUAAUACCGGAUACGUCCGAGGUUUUGAUCGACCUUGGAGAAAGAUUUAUCGCCGAAGGAUUGGCCCGCGUCUGAUUAGCUUGUUGGUGAGGUAAUGGCUCACCAAGGCGACGAUCAGUAGCUGGUCUGAGAGGAUGAUCAGCCACAUUGGGACUGAGACACGGCCCAAACUCCUACGGGAGGCAGCAGUGGGGAAUAUUGGACAAUGGGCGAAAGCCUGAUCCAGCCAUGCCGCGUGAGUG
rnacentral:rRNA from 1 species